rnacentral:rRNA from 1 species
UACGUAGGGGGGCAAGCGUUGUCCGGAAUUAUUGGGCGUAAAGAGCGCGUAGGCGGUCCGGUAAGUCGGCUGUGAAAGUCAAGGGCUCAACCCUUGAAAGCCGGCCGAUACUGUCGGACUAGAGUCCGGAAGAGGCGAGUGGAAUUCCCGGUGUAGCGGUGAAAUGCGCAGAUAUCGGGAGGAACACCAAUGGCGAAGGCAGGUCUCUGGGCAUUAACUGACGCUGAGGAGCGAAAGCAUGGGGAGCGAACAGG